GGACUCUGAUUAACCCCGUGUGUGUCAUCUGAGCCUGGCUUCCUGAGGUCUAAGCCCAGGUGGUGUUCUACUUCCUGCUGUUUAGCAUGGGGUCCUAGGUAAAGGAUCAGUCUUUGUGUUCUGAGCAC
rfam:Erinaceus europaeus unplaced genomic scaffold scaffold00688, whole genome shotgun sequence